rnacentral:rRNA from 1 species
GAGUUUGAUCCUGGCUCAGGAUGAACGCUGGGGGUUUGCCUAACACAUGCAAGUCGGACGAUUCUUAGAUUUUCUGUAGAAUAGUGGCGAACGGGUGAAAAACGCGUAAGAAUCUGCCUUUUGGAUAAGAAUAACAAUAGGAAACUGCUGCUAAGUCUUAAUAAGCCGAGGGGUUAAAGUAAAUCUAUACGAAGAAUGCCAAAAGAUGAGCUUGCGUCUGAUUAGUUUAUUAGAAUAGUAAUAAUCAUCUAAGACGAUGAUCAGUAGCUGGUCUGAGAGGACGAUCAGCCACACUGGGACUGAGAUACGGCCCAGACUCCUACGGGAAGCAGCAGUGAGGAAUAUUCCGCAAUGAGCGAAAGCUUGACGGAGCGAGACGGCGUGGUGGAAGAAAGCUUGUGGGUUGUAAACACCUUUUCUCUGAAACGACAUCCGACAUAUUAGAGGAAUCAGCAUCGGCUAACUCUGUGCCAGCAGCCGCGGUAAGACAGAGGAUGCAAGCGUUAUCCGAAUUGAUUGGGCAUAAAGCGUUCGUAGGUUGCUUUCUAAGUCUUUUGUUAAAAACUGGGGCCUAACUUCAGUUCAGCAUAGGAAACUUGAAGGAUUGAGUGUGGUAGAGGUAGUAGGAAUUCCCGGUGUAGCGGUGAAAUGCGUAGAGAUCGGGAAGAACACCAGAGGCGAAGGCGUGCUGCUGGGCCAUCACUGACACUAAGGGACGAAAGCUAGGAGAGCAAAUGGGAUUAGAUACCCCAGUAGUCCUAGCCUUAAACGAUGGAAACUAGGUUUUCCUUACCUUUUUCAUUUGAAAAAUAGAAUCUAGGUGAAUCGAAGCUAACGCGUUAAGUUUCCCGCCUGGGAAGUAUGCUUGCAAGAGUGAAACUCAAAGGAAUUGACGGGGGCCUGCACAAGCGGUGGAGCAUGUGGUUUAAUUCGAUGCAACGCGAAGAACCUUACCAGAGUUUGACAUGCUACUUCGCUAAGUAGGUGCUAACGAAAGUUAGUCUUAAUGCACAGGUGGUGCAUGGCUGUCGUCAGCUCGUGUCAUGAGAUGUUGGGUUAAGUCCUACAACGAUCGCAACCCUUUCUUUUUAUUGUAAUCUUAGAUAAAAAAGGACCGCCGAUAAUAAAUCGGAGGAAGGUGAGGAUGACGUCAAGUCAGCAUGCCCCUUACACUCUGGGCUACACACGUGCUACAAUGGUUAGGACAAAGCGUUACUACUUUGCAAAGGGGUGUAAAUCGUUAAACCUAACCUCAGUUCGAAUCCAUCUCUGCAACUCGAGACGAUGAAGUUGGAAUCGCUAGUAAUCGCUAGUCAGCUACAUAGCGGUGAAUACGUUCCCGGGCCUUGUACACACCGCCCGUCACACCAUGGAAGCGGGUUACGCCUGAAGUCGUUACUUUAACCACUAUGGAGAAGAAUGCCGAGGGUAGAAUUGGCGACUGGGGUGAAGUCGUAACAAGGUAACC